CAACCCUCAAGCCUGGCUUGGUGAUGGGGCACUGCUUUUUACCCAAAAAGCAGGCCCUGAAAUUCAGUGGCGAGCUCGCCAGGACCCCGAGCGCAGUAGUUAAACCCUCGCUCUGGAAGGCCCUGGCGGUGCCCUGCCGUUAAACCCCCAACUUCUGAAA
rnacentral:misc_RNA from 2 species